GGGCGCUUAGCUCAGGUGGUUUAGAGCGCUGCCCUUACAAGGCAGAGGUCCCAGGUUCGAAUCCUGGAGCGCCCA
rnacentral:tRNA from 1 species